rnacentral:tRNA from 1 species
UCCUCGUUAGUAUAGUGGUCAGUAUCCCCGCCUGUCACGCGGGAGACCGGGGUUCAAUUCCCGACGGGGAG